CGACGUCGGUACAGUGGUGCACGCUCGGUGAUGGUUUCUUACCCUUACUCUUCUAUUGUUAUUAUUGCAUAGUAUAUAUUGAGCCUUGCACCUAUGUUAUUCCAUUAUACUCUACUCGUUGUUUGCAUGCUUAGUAUCAUGAGUAGGAGUAGAGUGGUUCUAUCUAUGUGUGUAUCUAUUGACCUGGCUGAUCGAUUCUUGUACUUUAUAUCAGUGACUUGGUAGGUCGAUUCUUAUACUUCGUAUCAGUGACUUGGUUGGUUGGUUCUCGUAUCUCGUAUUUGUGACACAUUCGGUCGGUUCCUUGACUUCUGUCGUUCGAUGACCGUUGUGGUCGAUGUACCCUAGAGGGGUUGGAUUGUUGGCUAGUGGCCGACGGUAGUUCUGGAUUCUAUUGAUACACCCUGAUGACCUAUUCAUCAAUUCGUUGUACAUAUAUCCUAGUUGAUCUCAGUGGUUAGUUCUUGUGGUUCAUUGAGCCGUAUUUGCUUAUGUUUGAGAGGAUGUUGAUGUUGUCCCAUCCUAGUUGACAUGAGUAGUUAGUUUUUGUGCUUCCUUACAGUUGAUGACCUA
rnacentral:lncRNA from 1 species